rnacentral:tRNA from 1 species
GCCUUCGUGGUGUAGUGGUCAGUGCGCUCGACGCGUAUUCGACAGUUCCGUGGUUCGAGUCCCGGCGAGGGCA